rnacentral:rRNA from 1 species
AUACGGAGGAUCCGAGCGUUAUCCGGAUUUAUUGGGUUUAAAGGGUGCGCAGGCGGCCAUUUAAGUCAGCGGUUAAAUCGUGGGGCUCAACCCCAUUCUGCCGUUGAUACUGGGGGGCUUGAUUGCGGUCGAGGUUGGCGGAAUUCGUUGUGUAGCGGUGAAAUGCCUAGAUAUGACGAAGAACACCGAUUGCGUAGGCAGCUGGCCAGACCGCAAAUGACGCUCAUGCACGAAAGUGCGGGGAGCGAACAGGAUUAGAUACCCUGGUAGUCCGCACAGUAAACGAUGAAUACUUGUUUUCGGCGAUAUAAUGUCGGAGGCAAAGCGAAAGCGAUUAGUAUUCUACGUGGGGAGUGCGCCGGCAACGGUGAAACUCAAAGGAAUUGUCGGGG